rnacentral:lncRNA from 1 species
UUAAUAAAAAGGUUGGUCGAUGGGUGCAUUCUGCCCGAGAUCGUCCACAGGAUCGUCCAUGUCGAUCCUGAACAAUGGGUUUGGAACUCUCUGGGAUCCUUUUUUGAGGUAGGUCGAUUUACUUUUUCCUUCCUUUUGCUUCUUCACUUAGUUCAUUCUUUAGCUUUCAUAUUGACUUCCUCGCCACUCUUGCAGAUUGGAUACCAGCUCAUUACUAACAUCGAGGCGAUGAACAAGGCAAAGAAGGAAGCAGCCCAGAUGG